rnacentral:rRNA from 1 species
AUUAGUGGCGAACGGGUGAGUAACACGUGAGUAACCUGCCCCUGACUCUGGGAUAACCCUGGGAAACUGGGUCUAAUACUGGAUAUGCACCGUANACCGCANNGUUUUUGGUGGAAAGAAUUUUGGUCAGGGAUGGACUCGCGGCCUAUCAGCUUGUUGGUGAGGUAAUGGCUCACCGAGGCGACCACGGGUAGCCGGCCUGANAGGGUGACCGGCCACACUGGGACUGAGACACGGCCCAGACUCCUACGGGAGGCAGCAGUGGGGAAUAUUGCACAAUGGGCGAAAGCCUGAUGCAGCGACGCCNCGUGAGGGAUGACGGCCUUCGGGUUGUAAACCUCUUUCAGUAGGGAAGAAGCGAAAGUGACGGUACCUGCAGAAGAAGCGCCGGCUAACUACGUGCCAGCAGCCGCGGUAAUACGUAGGGCGCAAGCGUUAUCCGGAAUUAUUGGGCGUAAAGAGCUCGUAGGCGGUUUGUCGCGUCUGCCGUGAAAGUCCGAGGCUCAACUUCGGAUCUGCGGUGGGUACGGGCAGACUAGAGUGAUGUAGGGGAGACUGGAAUUCCUGGUGUAGCGGUGAAAUGCGCAGAUAUCAGGAGGAACACCGAUGGCGAAGGCAGGUCUCUGGGCAUCUACUGACGCUGAGGAGCGAAAGCAUGGGGAGCGAACAGGAUUAGAUACCCUGGUAGUCCAUGCCGUAAACGUUGGGCACU